rnacentral:rRNA from 1 species
GAUCAUGGCUCAGGAUGAACGCUGGCGGCGUGCUUAACACAUGCAAGUCGAACGAAGCACUUUAUUUGAUUUCCUUCGGGACUGAUUAUUUUGUGACUGAGUGGCGGACGGGUGAGUAACGCGUGGGUAACCUGCCUUGUACAGGGGGAGUAACAGUUGGAAACGGCUGCUAAUACCGCAUAAGCGCACAGCAUCGCAUGAUGCAGUGUGAAAAACUACCGGUGGUAUAAGAUGGACCCG